UUUCGUUUGAAGCGACGCUCGACGGAGGUUCACGCAUUACUAGUAUAUUUUAUUACGGUAAAUAAUUAAUUAAAACAAGGACUAGACGUUAUGUUAAUAUCAAGUCUAUAUCAAGCCAGUUAUGUCUGUGUGGUUUGCAGCUAAUUUUCAGUCUGUGAUUUGAUAUCAUCAAGAGUUGGAGUUUGGCCAUUGCAAAGUGGUCGUUGACUAUUGCACGUGGAGAAGGCUUGAAGGCGUGAGGCUGUGGAGCAUCAAUGACAUCCUCAUUUCCUUAUGGAUCUGGUACGUGUGACGUUGCGUGUGGACUAGAGAAAUGGGCGUGUCAAUAGCUGUUGAAUGUCAUUGGACUGACGACUGUCAACGGCACCGAGUUCUUACUGCAAGCUCCAGACACUGAGACUGGAGAUAGUUGGGCUGAGGUGAUCGGUGAUACGAUACGACAGCUGGAGCAAGACAAAACGAUUGCGAAUCCAAUGGUUGCUGA